GAUCAUCUGGUUUUAAGAAGCGAGCGAGCGUACAAGUAGUCUGAAACUUGAAGCCUCCAGCGCACAGACACUGAGAACAGACUCAAACAGUGAUGGAGGAGACAUCUUGUGUCCCGCACUUAAACUUGAGAAAUGAAAUAUAUUUGCACGUUCAUACAUUUUUUUUUUUUUUUUUUAAUCAGGGAGAAGUGGAUGUAAUUUCAGGGAUUUUAAUGAGGUUGUUACACUUUUUUCUGCAAAAAUCAGAAGAGAUACAGAAUCCAGUUCACGGCAACUACAUCUUGAGAAAUUCCACCUUAAAGACAUCACAAAAGUGAAGGGGACAGCUGUGGAGUUUCAAGUGACAAGGCUGCCGAGCCAGUGACCACAGUUCAAGUCUGCAUUUAAACUUACUUUGCCAACAUUUAUCCUGGCGAUCGGGUUGUUCAGUCUGACACUGCACCUGACGAGAUGCCCUCUUCCUUACCUCCCAUUCCCACGAAAGGUUCCUCCUCCCCUCCCCCCAAACCUCUCAGCCUCUUCGCCAGCUGAACAACAACAGGGUCCCUGCCUUGGUGACUGACAGCCUCCCUAAUUGUAUCCACUCACUCAUGACAAUUUGAU